rnacentral:rRNA from 1 species
CCCUAGCACAGGUGCUGCCAUGGCCGUCGUCAGCUCGUGCCGUGAGGUGUUGGGUUAAGCCCCGCAACGAGCGCAACCCCGCCGUUAGUUGCCAGCGGUUCGGCCGGGCACUCUAACGGGACUGCCCGCGAAAGCGGGAGGAAGGAGGGGACGACGUCUGGUCAGCAUGGCCCUUACGGCCUGGGCGACACACGUGCUACAAUGCCCACUACAAAGCGAUGCCACCCGGCAACGGGGAGCUAAUCGCAAAAAGGUGGGCCCAGUUCGGAUUGGGGUCUGCAACCCGACCCCAUGAAGCCGGAAUCGCUAGUAAUCGCGGAUCAGCCAUGCCGCGGUGAAUACGUUCCCGGGCCUU